GAGAGAGAGACAGGGAGAGAGAGAGAGAGGAGCAUUAGAGCGGCCAAUCAGAGCACAGCUCACUCCACCUGCAGCUGAGCCCUCAGGUUAAUCUGCUGGAGUGAAGUUGGACCGAACCGCCACAGAUCCCUGAGUCCAGCAGAACUAGCGGAGCAGCGGGGGUUCCUCCGUACCGCGGCCGCCCCACAGCGCUCCCUGUCCGGGCUGCUCAUGCGGCAGGCCCCGCUCCCAUGGAGAACCUGAUGCCGAGUAUAAGCUAAAGCCCAAACAUUCUGCUAGCGAUCGGAUACAGAGUCGGAGCCGGGGAGACAGCCGCCCUGAUGCCACCCAGCUGUCUAACAUCCGUUAGCUGUCCGUCGGUCUGUCCGCCGGUCGGUCGCUUCCGCAAACCCAACCCAGCUCGGUUCGCCUCGGCACCGGUCUGUCCACCUCCCUGACCGCUCCUGUCUGUCUAAACCAGCCCUCCUACUACCGGAGGUUAACCUCCAUCCAAUAAAUGAGAAUGAAAUCAGAAGAAAAGGGAGAAAAAAGAGGAAAUCAGCAGCGACAG